CCUACGGGUGGCAGCAGUGAGGAAUAUUGGUCAAUGGACGAGAGUCUGAACCAGCCAAGUAGCGUGAAGGAUGACUGCCCUCUGGGUUGUAAACUUCUUUUAUAUGGGAAUAAAAUGUUCCACGUGUGGGAUUUUGUAUGGACCAUGUGAAUAAGGAUCGGCUAACUCCGUGCCAGCAGCCGCGGUAAUACGGAGGAUGCGAGCGUUAUCCGGAUUUAUUGGGUUUAAAGGGAGCGUAGGUGGAUUGGUAAGUCAGUUGUGAAAGUUUGCGGCUCAACCGUAAAAUUGCAGUUGAAACUGGCAGUCUUGAGUACAGUAGAGGUGGGCGGAAUUCGUGGUGUAGCGGUGAAAUGCUUAGAUAUCACGAAGAACUCCGAUUGCGAAGGCAGUUCACUGGACUGCAACUGACACUGAGGCUCGAAAGUGUGGGUAUCAAACAGGAUUAGAUACCCCAGUAGUC
rnacentral:rRNA from 1 species